UAGGGAAUCUUCCACAAUGGACGCAAGUCUGAUGGAGCAACGCAGCGUGAGUGAAGAAGGUUUUCGGAUCGUAAAGCUCUGUUGUUGGUGAAGAAGGAUAGAGGCAGUAACUGGUCUUUAUUUGACGGUAAUCAACCAGAAAGUCACGGCUAACUACGUGCCAGCAGCCGCGGUAAUACGUAGGUGGCAAGCGUUGUCCGGAUUUAUUGGGCGUAAAGCGAGCGCAGGCGGAAUGAUAAGUCUGAUGUGAAAGCCCACGGCUCAACCGUGGAACUGCAUCGGAAACUGUCAUUCUUGAGUGCAGAAGAGGAGAGUGGAAUUCCAUGUGUAGCGGUGGAAUGCGUAGAUAUAUGGAAGAACACCAGUGGCGAAGGCGGCUCUCUGGUCUGCAACUGACGCUGAGGCUCGAAAGCAUGGGUAGCGAACAGG
rnacentral:rRNA from 1 species